UUGACGAUUUCUACCUCCGAUCCCCAUCCGUCACAGCACCACUCACGAUCUCCAUUUAGGGGAGUGGCAGCGGCGGCGGCGGCGCAGUGCCGAUGAUGAAGGAGAUAGGAUGGAGCUAACCGUGGCCAAAGACAGGAAACAGCGUCAGGUGAGUCGGCAACAACCCAGUGCAAGUGGAGGUGAUGGGGGCGACCGCCAGAUCGUAGGUGGAUGCCUUAGAUCAAACAGAGUUGUGCUUCUCCCUGUCCGCACCAUACUUCAUCUCAGGUUGGUAACAUAAAUAGAUCGAACUUGGACAGCCAGAUUUGAGGUUGGAAGAGCUGGCGGAACCUGAGGCUAAGAUUUUUUUCGGUUCUAGAGUUGAUUAUGUUCAUUUAUAUCAAAUGGUCAAGCAAAAUAGCCCAUCUGCUGACAGAAAUUGUAUUUGGUCGGAAUCAUCACAAUACUUUGAAGCAGAUACGGCAAGCUCAAAGCCACCCAUUGUAAGGGUACUGUAGAGAAGCUAUCAAGCAUGAUCUAGGGCAAGCGAAACUUCAUUUCCGACCCAUUGCAUAUUGUCUCACUAGCAAACAAUCCAUGUGCGUUAAAAGAGUAAAUAAUCAUAUUGAUAAAUGAUUUUUCUUUUUUUGGUAGUUUAUUAUGACUUUUGUCCAAUUCAAGGAGAUACUAAAGGUGGGUGUUAUCAAGGCUGAAGGGUUGCAUCAAUUGAGGCAUAACCUUUUUCAGCGGGAUUAUCCAAGCCAGUAUUCUUCCACUCUCAUUUUCUGUAGCCUUGUAUAGCUUUAUGUAUUCUUAAAUAAAAGCUUAUUUUCUUGUUGGCGGACUCAUGUUUUUAUUUAAUAACCAUGGAAGGAAUGACACAAGAGGAUUCCCAAUUUUGUGUUAAGCAUUGUGAGUUCAUGACAACAAGAUGACUGGGCUGAUGAGGAGAAUUUACUACGAUGGAGUUGGCAAAGAGGAUCUAAUCUGCGGGUAAGAGUGAUGGAGAAAUUGCUGAAGUUGUGGAAGCGAAGUAUCCUUCCAUAGUGUUAUAUGGUAGCACACUAAUACUACAG